AGAAGAAGCAGCAGCUCUGUCUGGGUGAUGGCGAGAUUCCCUGCAACCUAUGGUGAGGCAGCAUUGCCCUGCAGCCCACUGAGGGUGUGGGGAUGCAGAAAUCCGCCUGCAGCCUAUGAAGUAGCCCACACCAGAGCAGGGGGUUGGAGGAGAGAAGCUGUAACCCUACGGGGAACCUGCAAUGGAGCAGGUUCCUGGAAAGACUUGUAGAUCUUUGGAGAGAGUAGCUGGAGCAGGUUUGUUGGCAGGAACUGUGACCCUGCUGGGGACCCACACUGGAACAGCCUGUUCCUGAAGGACUGACCCUAUGGAAAGGACCCACACUGGAACAGUUCAUAAAGAGCUGCAUCUCAUGGGAAAGACCCACAUUGGAGAAGUUCAUGGAGAACAGUAUCCUAUAUUAGGGACCACACGCUGGAGCAAGAGGACGAGUGUGACAGGGAAAGAAUGGCAGAGGUGAGUGAUGAACUGACCACAGCCUUCAUUUCCUGUCCCACUGUGCUGCUCAGGGGGUCAACAGGGAGAAAUUGGGGUUGAAUUGGAUCCAAAGAAGAAAGGGCUGAGGGAAGGUGCUUUAAGAUCCAGGAUUUUUUCUUACUAUCCUAUGUUAAGGCAUGUGUUGCAACAAACCCAUGAGAGCAAUCCACACCCUCAGGGCCUGGAGAACACCACUAGAGAUUGCUGACAAUAAAGGCAAAGGGACAGGUCCUCGUUCGGGUAUCUGAAGACUGUUUAUUCAAAGGAUCCAGGGAUGAGAACAGCCUGGAACGACUUCAGGGACGAGAACAGGAUCGGGCAAAGGGCACAGUGUUAAACACAGGGAAAAAGGGGCGAGUCUGGGGGUCUAGGUCCAAUAGGGACAAGGGAAAGUGGUGCAGGGGCGUGACUAAAGACCAGGAGAACCAGUGGGAUAAGAGGGGUGGAGCAAUGAGCCAAAUAGAGUCCAUGGGGGUUAAGGGAAGGAAAGAUGUUCUAGGAGGGGUUUAUAAAUGGUAAACAGGGGCUGAACAAGGGUGAUAUAAAUGUUUACAAACUAUUAGAAUACCAGAACCCAAAAGCUAAUAACAUGUGGCUGAAAAGCCCUGUGGGAAUACAAUUUUCCUCGCCCUAAUCUAGAGGGGCGUCUCUCUUCUCUUGUGUCAUCCCCUCCAGGGUUGAGACAUUUUGGUAACAGGCUCCUGGGCCUCCACAAUCCUACUCUGAUUUGAUUGGUAAAAAAAUUAGCUAACUUCCCUGGGUUGAGUCUGCUUUACCCAUGAUAGUAACUGGUGAGGGAUCUCUCCUUGCCCUUAGGUUGACCAUGAGCCUUUUGUUAUAUUUUACUUGCUGUGUUCAGCUGAGAAAAAGAAUGAUUAGUGACUUGUUGGUCACCUGACAUCCAGCCAGGGUCAAACCCACCACAUGUCACCUCUGUUUUUUGUGAUUGCCGUGUACACUUUGUUCUCCUUUCUUUCCACUUUACCGAGUCUUGCUUUUUUCUAAAUUCAUUAACAUAGUUUCUUAAUUUGGCAUAUUAUGUAAUAUCCCAAGCAACCAACAAAUGGUGAUGAAAAAGUUAGUAAUUUGGUUUAUUGUUUUUGUUCGACACACCUUUGUGGUAAGUGUAUUAUUUACAUUACCAUGGCUGAGUGAUAGCUGAGGUGCAUAUUUUGUGUCUCAUUUGGAGAUUUUUCUUUGGUUUCAUUAUUCUGACCUUGAAAGUCAGUCUGUUGCUCUUUCUCUUACUCAAAGAUUGUCUUGAUUUGAAAGGCAGGUGUCUGCCAAGGAAGGCAGGAACCUCUCUUAGAAUGGUAAAUAUGACUCUCUUCCCUCCAAAUUAUUAUGACUUUGAAAUUAAGGGUGUUCUAGGCAAAGACAUGGGAAAAGGAGUAGCAGUUCUUUGCUAGUACGUAUAUGUAUAAGGAGGCAAACAAACAGAACACAAACCCAGUGCCAGCCCUCUCUCGGCCGCAGGCACUUUCCCCUUGGGUGCAGUUCCGGGCACGGCCUGCAGGGGCGCUGGUGGCUCCCGGCCGGGCAGGGCGGGUGCGAUGAUUCCCCCGCGGCUGCAGGGGGCGCUGUGGCGCGAGCUCAGCCGCCUUUCUGCACGCGGUAAUGGCGGGCGGGAUGGAAAAGGCGCUGCCUUUGCAAACCCACGGGGGCAGCCGGUCCCGGUGCCCCUCUGCAUGGCGAGAUGGGCUGUAGCAGGAACCUCGGAGCCACAGCUGGAAUGGCAGCGACGAGCAGACCCCGAAGCAGCAAACGAAAUGUAUCAGAAACUCCGCAGCUGUAGCAGGAGCCGCGGGUGUCCCGGCAGGCAGGGGAUGUGGGGUUACAGCGCAGUGAAAAACCCGGAGCAGUGGCAGAGAAGCGGUGGGGCUGGGCAGCAGCAGCCAGGCUCUCGAACAUGGCCGGGAAAGGCUCCCUUGAAGGGGCUCUGGAGCUUCGGGUCCCGGGUUUUCCCCUGAGGCACCCCAGUAGAUGGUGAGGGUCCUUUUAGUGAGCUCAGGUGUUAAUAAGGUCCCAGUCCAGUGGCUGCUCCUACAAGCAAAGGCUCACCCAUGGUAAGGAAGAAGCCGUACAGGGCUGGGCUCUGGCAGUGGCAGUGAAUUCUCCCCGCUGGAAGCAACAGCUCAACCUUUCUCCUCCAACAGCAAGAGAGUGAGGGGAACCCAGCCCAGCACAGCCCCUCAGCGCCAGCCAAAAUUUCACAGUUACUCUGCCCUUCCCAAGAGAAAAGCCCUCAGCCUUGGUCGUCGGGACAUGUGGAGGGAGGCCGUGUACCUUUGCCCCUUGCAUGGGGAAUUUGGGAGGAAGGCAGGGCUGUUACUAGGAGGCGUGGCAUGGCAACACCUGACCUCCAAUCAAGUUGCAAGAAAGCAGUCUCCACCAAGGGAUGGUGAAGAAGAGUUGAUUGGCAGACUUUGGGUGGGGCCAGGGUUGCCUGAUGCAACACCAAAGGUAUAAAAGCAGGAGCAGCUAUUUUUGUGCGUGGGCAUGUGGCUGUUGGUUAUGGUGAUGCCCAGUGCUGCUCCUUCUCCUUGUUCAGUCUUUUGUUGUAUUUUGUUAAGGUUUCUAAUAAACCUUUGAAAUUUUAAAAA